AUACGUAGGGGGCGAGCGUUGUCCGGAAUGAUUGGGCGUAAAGGGCGCGUAGGCGGCCCGGUAAGUCUGGAGUGAAAGUCCUGUUUUUAAGAUGGGAAUUGCUUUGGAUACUGUCGGGCUUGAGUGCAGGAGAGGUAAGUGGAAUUCCCAGUGUAGCGGUGAAAUGCGUAGAGAUUGGGAGGAACACCAGUGGCGAAGGCGACUUACUGGACUGUAACUGACGCUGAGGCGCGGAAGUGUGGGGAGCAAACAGGAUUAGAUACCCUGGUAGUCCACACUGUAAACGAUGAAUGCUAGGUGUAGGGGGUAUCGACCCCUUCUGUGCCGCAGUCAACACAAUAAGCAUUCCGCCUGGGGAGUACGGCCGCAAGGUUGAAACUUAAAGGAAUUGACGGGG
rnacentral:rRNA from 1 species